UACGUAGGGUGCAAGCGUUGUCCGGAAUUACUGGGCGUAAAGCGCACGUAGGCGGCUUCUUAAGUCAGGGGUGAAAUGCCAAGGCUCAACCUUGGAACUGCCUUUGAUACUGGCGAUCUUGAGUCCGGGAGAGGUGAGUGGAACUCCGAGUGUAGAGGUGAAAUUCGUAGAUAUUCGGAAGAACACCAGUGGCGAAGGCGGCUCACUGGCCCGGUACUGACGCUGAUGUGCGAAAGCGUGGGGAGCAAACAGG
rnacentral:rRNA from 1 species